UACGAAGGGUGCAAGCGUUAAUCGGAAUUACUGGGCGUAAAGCGCGCGUAGGUGGUUCAGCAAGUUGGAUGUGAAAGCCCCGGGCUCAACCUGGGAACUGCAUCCAAAACUACUGGGCUAGAGUAUGGUAGAGGGUGGUGGAAUUUCCUGUGUAGCGGUGAAAUGCGUAGAUAUAGGAAGGAACACCAGUGGCGAAGGCGACCACCUGGACUAAUACUGACACUGAGGUGCGAAAGCGUGGGGAGCAAACAGG
rnacentral:rRNA from 1 species